GGGGAUGCCGGGAUUCGACAGAGUACGAAGAGCAAUAAGGGCAAGUCGAGCACGUCAGGUAACCUCGUUAAACUUCCUGGCACACGGCAACUGCCGACAAUCAGAGCCUUCGGGCUCUCCCCCUCGCCGCCUAAUACGCGUUGAGCGUCUCUCUGGGAUGUCGUUCGAGAACGACAUCCCCUUGUCUACGCCCUGACGGACAGACGAGGCGUAACCACCCAGGGCCGCUCAGCUCGCGCCACCACCUGAGGCAGAGCUGCUAAGACAACCAGGUUAAGCCCCGAGCACAUCUCGUCUGCUGAUAGCUCCUGGCCGACAAUGAUAACAGACUAAACUUGUAGCCCUUCUUGUUUGACGUGCUUUGGACAGGGGGUUCAACUCCCCCUCAUCUCCACCA
rnacentral:tmRNA from 1 species